CCUACGGGUGGCAGCAGUGAGGAAUAUUGGUCAAUGGGCGCGAGCCUGAACCAGCCAAGUAGCGUGAAGGAUGACGGCCCUACGGGUGGUAAACUUCAGUUAUAAAGGAAUAAAGUGAGGCACGUGUGCCAGUUUGUAUGGACUUUAUGAAUAAGGAUCGGCUAACUCCGUGCAAGCAGCCGCGGUAAUACGGAGGAUCCGGGCGUUAUCCGGCUUUAUUGGGUUUCAAGGGAGCGUAGAUGGGUUGUUAAGUCAGUUGUGAAAGUUGGCGGCUCAACCGUAAAAUUGCAAUUGAUACUGGCCGCCUUGAGUACAGUUGAGGUCGGCGUAUUUCGUUGUGUAGCGGUGCCAUGCU
rnacentral:rRNA from 1 species